rnacentral:tRNA from 1 species
UGCCGAAGUGGUGGAAUUGGUAUACACGCAGCACUUAGGAUGCUGUGCCCUAGAGGAUUGAGGGUUCGACCCCCUCCUUCGGUAUCAA